rnacentral:rRNA from 1 species
GGGCACCACCAGGGGGUGCUGCUGCGGCUUAUUUGACUCAACACGGGAAAUCUCACCAGGCCCGGACACCGGAAGGAUUGACAGAUUAACAGCUCUUUCUUGAUUCGGUGGGUGGUGGUGCAUGGCCGUUCUUAGUUGGUGGAGCGAUUUGUCUGGUUAAUUCCGGUAACGAACGAGACUCUAGCCUGCUAAAUAGGCGUCGUCAUUUAGGUGUGCUCGACCUCGGUCGUGCAACUCACUGGCGACGUAUUAAAAUUCUUCUUAGAGGGACCGGUGGCUUCGAGCCACACGAGAUUGAGCAAUAACAGGUCUGUGAUGCCCUUAGAUGUCCUGGGCCGCACGCGCGCUACACUGAAGGAAUCA